GACUGUGAAGGCAAUCUGUCUACAUCUGUCACCCCAGUCACUGCACCGGCUGCCUAAGGUGGACCCUUCUUCACGAUUCUUGCACAUCCCUCCAGAAUUUGUAUACUUGUCAGAAAGGACACCCUUCUGGAAUAGAAAAGAACUGUCCUUUGGUCAUGAGUAUACAUGUAACUGUAGUUCUCCCGUAGGAAUCUCCAAAUACAUUCUGAAGGAAUAAUAAAUUUGAAAAUACUUGGUGAGACUCAAAUUCUAUCAAGACAAUCAUAAUAGUGGACAU
rnacentral:snRNA from 1 species